UAUGCACUAGUUCAAUCAACUCGGGGUUGAUUAACACAGGGUUGUGCGCGUCCAUGCCAAACCUAAAAAGACGUGAUGUAUGGAUCAUGGAAACCCUGAUCGAAAUGGCGAAACGGGCCGCUUAUUUCAAUGAAAUGGAACUUCAGGUUCCCCUGGAGAGCUAUGACGAGGAGAAGGACAUUAUCACAAGAAAAGGGAACGCUAAAGCCUCUGCAACCCGGAGAACGAAAGCCUGGCAGCGGAUCGCAGGCCGCGUAAAUGCGCUUCCAAGUGGUCAUCGGAUCAAGUAUAAAAAUGAAGCAUAAAAAACAUACAAACUGUCGGACCUUGAUGCUGUGACAACGGACAAGUCUUCUUCCUCUGUCCUUUUCCCCUGCC
ensembl:lncRNA